CCCGGCAAAAAUAAGUGAACGUGUUUAUAAAGUAAAUGUUUUAAAAUCGGAGUGAAAGAGAGGAGUGAUGGUGCUGUAGGGCUGAAUUUACACUCCCAGAGCUGUUUAUUUAAUUGUUUACAUUUUAAUGUUUUACGUGGAUUUAUUUUAUUUUUUAAACGUGUGUUUUUGAGGCGCGCGCCGCGAGUUUGCGCAGUUUAUAAAAGCAAAGGUGUAGAAUGAGGUAGAGCUCAGAACACACAGCACAGGAACACACACUCUCUCACACACUCUCUCACACACUCUCUCACACACACACACACGGAAAAUAAGGAGCAGGCUUCUCACACACCGGAUUACAGUUCUGGAUGAAGAUGAAGAUGAGGAUGAAGACUGUGUGUGAAAUCUCUUAACUUCUCAGCAUCUGGAGCGGGUUUUCUGCACGCGCGCUUUGGAGGCUCUGUGUGGUGUAGAGGGACAGUGGUGUGAAUAUAAUGCCCAGUAAGAGUGUGAUAAACACACACGUCAAGAUCAAAACAGAUGAAGCUCCUAAAUCCAGCUCCGGACGGUCCAGGAAGAGGAAAGCAGACGUUGCUAUCCACUUACAAGAUCCGGACGAGGAAAUUACAGAGGUGCAGACGAGGAAGAAGCAGUGUCCAUCCCAGGAGACGUGUCGGGAUCAGACACCGACCUGCUCGCCGCAUCGGGUGGAUAAACAGGUUGGAGUUGGCAGCGUGGGAUUCCCACAGUACACCAGCAGGAAUGUUUUCGUCACCCCGACACGGCCCUCUCCCCUGCCUGCCCUGUGCUGGGCAAGUAAAGAGGACGUGUGGAACAACCUGCUGAAGAAAGACAAACUUUACCUCCACAACAUGCACGUGAUGGAGAGACAUCCCAACCUGCAGCCCAAAAUGAGGGCCAUACUGCUGGACUGGUUAAUCGAGGUGUGUGAGGUGUAUAAACUCCACAGAGAGACGUUUUAUUUGGGUCAGGAUUAUUUUGAUCGUUUCAUGUCCACUCAGAAGGACGUUCAGAAGUCCACUCUGCAGCUCAUUGGCAUUUCUGCCCUCUUCAUCGCUGCCAAGAUGGAGGAGAUUUAUCCACCUAAAGUGCACCAGUUUGCAUACGUGACGGACGGAGCGUGUACGGAGGAGGAGAUCCUCAGCAUGGAGGUCAUCAUCAUGAAGGAGCUGAACUGGAGUCUGAAUCCCUUAACUCCGGUGUCGUGGUUGAACAUCUACAUGCAGAUGGCGUAUCUAAAGGAGUUCACGGAAGUUCUUAUGCCACAGUUUCCUCAGGCCACAUUCGUUCAGAUUGCUGAGCUGCUGGAUUUGUGCGUCCUGGAUGUCAGGAGUUUGGAAUUCUCCUCCAGUCUUCUGGCAGCUUCAGCUCUGUUCCACUUCUCAUCUCUGGAGCUCAUCAUGAAGGUGUCUGGGCUGAAGUGGUGUGAUAUGGAGCGCUGUGUGAGGUGGAUGGUACCGUUUGCGAUGGCGAUACGUGAAGUUGGAAGCUCCACCUUAAAAAUGUUUAAAGGCAUUCCAGUAGAGAACACGCACAACAUCCAGAGCCACGCCCCCUACCUGGACUGGCUGGUGAGAUACACGGCAUCCUACACUCUCUCUCUCACACACACUUCUAGUUGAUAAUGGUUGUACACGAUGCUGAGCAUGGCCUGGGGUGGUGUAAAUCACUGACUGUGGAGGUGAGGAGGAGGAGGGAUGAUGGUUUCAGGCUCCUCAGUUCCAGUGAAGGUUGAUCUACAGGACAUACAGAGAUUUCACACAUCUGUGAUUUGGAACCUUUCCUGCUCCAUUAUGACCAUGUCCCUGUGCACAAAGCCCCUGAGCUCCAUGAAGACACGGUGUGGAGGUGAAGGUUGAAGUGGAGAGCUGGAGUGUCCUGGACAGAGCCCUGACCACCCACUGACCCCUCCAGACCUCCUCACUCUCAACACCAGAGACAGACACACUCCGAAAUCUAGUGGAGAACCUUCCUGAAGCCUGGAGCUGAUUAGAACAGCAGUCCAUGUUUAGUGGGACGAGUACAGUCGCAUCAGCUGGAGGAUUCGGAACACAGCCAGACCUCGCCCGUCCCGCCCGGAGUCCUGACUCCGCCCCCUAGCAGCGAGAAACCCGAGGACUCUUCGUCCUGAUGCUGCUCUGCUUCCGCCG